CAGGGAUGUGUAAAAGGGAUCAGAGACAGACACAAGGAGGAAGAAAACUCCAAAACAGUAAGAAAGAGUGGUAGGAGAGAGAGACAUAGGUAGGUAGAUGAGAAGAGGCAGAAAGACAGUGACAGGAAGGCAAGGAGAGAGAGAGGUCAGGUAGACAUGGGAAUGAGGGAAGGCAGUGGGAGACAGAAAA